GGACUUUUAGAAUUUUAAUAUGAACUGGCUUAAACAGUACAGGAAAUUUGUGGUUCACAAUUCUGGAUAGUCUGUAAGAUGGCCUUGCUCACAAUCCCGAAUAGUCUAUAGGAUAGUCCAUAGAAUCAAACAGGUGAGGUUUGAUACUGCAGCUCAAAUCAUGCCACCAAACACAAGGUUCUUCUCCAUCUUUCCCGCAUUCAUUUGACAGUACUGACUUCAACCCCAGGCUCUACUUGUUGCUGUCCCUCUAAACUCCCAUCCCUCUAGGGUUUCCCCUUAUAGGAGGAAAACGGUUGCCACAUUUCCAGGCAUCAUAUACUUACACCAUGCUAGAGGAGCAAGGAAGCUACAGUUUACUGGAAGCCUCAGCCCCAGUCUUUGUGGGUUCAUUGUUUCUGACUGGGCUUGUGACCAUCUCUGCUGCUAGAGGGAAUGGUUAUGUUGCCUGGCUUAAAUGGAAGGAAUAAAUGCUCAAGUGGCAGCCAACAAAUACAUUCAAUAUCCACACAUAUUGGCUCCAAAUAAUAAAUCAAUGAAUGAGUGGGCUCACCCACUUAGGCUCACAUGCUCACAGCACUUAAAGAGCUCCACAAACCAUGCCCUCCAAAUGAAACCACGGUCUACAUUCUGCCAGCUCUUUCUCCCUUUCCAUUUCUCCUUUCUUCUCUUUCACACCCUCACCUUUGGCUAGGCCACUCGAUGUUGCAAGAAACACGUCCAUCAGCAAUUGCCUCAGUAGAAAACUCCCUCUGCUCCCCUCCUGCAUCCACAUAGCAGCUUCAGGCAAGGCCUCCAUAAGGCCCAGCGUGGAUCAGUGCCUGCCCCUUGGCCGAAUCAGUGCUGUCACAGGCAGAGAAUUGUCACUGCCAUGCUCACCUGCCCAACCCAGUGGUCAGAGAAGACUGUUCUACUGCGAGAGGAGCCAUGAGAAGGCUUUUCCGAAAGUCAAAGACCAA
rnacentral:lncRNA from 10 species